AUGCAUAUGAUGGAAAAAUCUAAUAUCUUCUGAGACUUGUGAUGUCUUUCAAAGGAACCAACUUCAAUGCAU
rnacentral:snoRNA from 1 species